CUCAGCCUCUCUCCUGAGUCAGUGUUUUCCAUCCCUAAACAGAGAUUUUGCCACUCUGGCUUCUGAUUGGCCCGGUGUAGGCGCGCGCUCUGCGCCAUUGGCCCUCCUACCUGUCUCGCUAGGAGUGGCCAUCUUGAAUCCCGUCCCUGCCGCGGGGCUGCCUGGGAAUUGUAGUCCUUGUUGCGCUCUGUCCCGCGUCAGGACUUUUUGCCCUCUGCUCCCGAGCCCCUCAGGCAGCCACCCCCGUGGGCACACGCCCAGGAGCUGUUCCUGCCCCGCGCUCCCUCCCUCCACCUUUCACUUCCCAGCCGCAAACAUCUCGGAAGCUUUGAAACUCAGCAAAGAAGGGAAAUCCACUGAGAACAGUCUGUUAAGGUUUCCUCUUCAGGCUGGAAGCUUCCUGGCUCCAAGAGAGAGCUGAAAGGAAGUCAGAAUUGAGACUGCAACCUUCAUGUGGAUGAGGUACAGUAGCAUGCAAACUGCUGUAUUUCCUAUAAGUUCUUGCCUAUAAAGGGUCCUCAACAUGGGCUUAUUUAAUGAAUACAUUAUGAAAUAAUAAAACACCUCUAGUUCUAGACUCUCAUAACCCAAACUAGUAAUAAUUUGGUUGCUAAAAUCUCCUCUUAUGUUCUGUUGCUCAAAACUGUUAUGCAUAGAUGCAUAAAAAUGAUGGUCCUUGAUCCACUUACUUGUCAUGAGCAGCUGAACAGGUAGUUCCCAAAGACCUGGAAUGCCUUGAUUUAUUGUUCAUUUGUUUUAAUUUACUGAAGGUGACCUUACUCUAUUUUUCUGCCAGAACUCAGUCUGGAUCACAGUUGUUGGUGAUCCCCAGGGAAUAAAUUGCAAGCAGUGACUCUUAGUCAUAUUAGGCCUGCCUCUUUGGUACAGCAUUCAUGUAGUGAACCUAGGCCUUGAGGCUAAUGAUGGCAUUUUGUAGCCAGGCUACAGUGACCUCCAUUUCUUAGAACAUUGAUUUACCUCAAGACAACAACAUUCUCAGUUGCGGCUAGAGUGUAUCCUUGCUUCUGGGAACUCUGGAAAAAAUAACUUAAAGAAAACCCCAUCCCUUGCUUUCCAAAACUUUGGUAUUUAACUGGUUGAAGUUAGGGUGAAAAAAAAUAGUUUGGAAUCACUGAAUGGACUUCUAUAUCUUUAAGAAAUACAUGUAAAUAAGUAACAAAGUAAUCAACAAGUUUUGAGGGUGAGACACUUAGGCAAAAUUCCACCUUUUAGAAAGUUGGGUGAGUCUGAUUUGCAUUCCUCAGGAUUUGCUCAAAGUGUUUAUAACAAGUGUGGCUCCAGAUUCUGAGUGGUAACCUGUAAGACCUUGUGACUGCAUAUUAAUUGAGCCCAUGAAAAAGUGUCUGAAUUUCACAGUGAUAAAUUUUAAUGACUUUGUUUGUGUAUCAUUAACAAGCUUCUGGUGGUUACCAAAACUUGUAAACAAAGUCAUUUUGCCAGCACAGAUAGUGUCUCUCUAUACCUGACGGUGACUUUGAAUUAAAACAAAUAAAUAACUUUUGCUUAUAGUCCUUUUCUAGGACUAGAUUAACUUUGAGAUGGAGUUGAAGCAUGUCACUCCUCAGCUCAAAACCUUGCAAGGACUCUUCAUUUCACUCCAAAUAAAAGCCAAAUCCUUUAUGAUGGACAAGGAGGUUCUUCCCCCUCUGAGGGAUCCUUACCCCAUUGCUCUCCUACCCUCUUAUUCACCCUUCAUUCUCAUCUCCAACUCGCAUGGGCUUCCUUGGUAUCCCUCAAACACACCUGCCUGACACAGUGCCUUUGUACAAGCUUUUCCCUUGAGAAUCCUCCCCCUGCUGGUUAGCAGUCUGCUUCUUCUUCACUGUGACCUUCUUCAUUGAAGCCCACUAGACCUGCCAUAUUAAAAAUUCUAACUGCCUUUCCAUCUUCCUGAUCCCUCUAAGACUGCUCUGUUUUCAAUUUUUGUCUUUAGCAUUUAACCAUCCAACACACCUUGAAUUUUGUCACAUGUGUUGCUUAUUGUUAAUGAUCUGCCUCCCUGCACUAGGAUCUAUGCUUCAGGAGCAUAAGAGCCUUUCUUCUCUUUCUUCAGUAAAGUGUCUAGAUCAGCUCUGUCCCAUGGAAGUUUCUGUGAUGAUGGAAACACGUUUGGUAGACACUAGCCACCCAGGCUAAUUGAACACUUAAAUUGUGGUUAGUGCCAAUGAACCUCUGCAAUUAAGUAAAAUUUUAAUGUAAUUUUAAGUAAUUUAAAUUUAAAUAGCUACGUGUGGCUAGUGGCUACCUAUCCUAUUAGGCAGUACCUAUCUUGAAAGUUUACUUAUUCAGCAAAUAAAUGAUUAGCUCUCUAGAUCAGUGCUUCUUAAACUUCAAUGUGCAAAGAAUUCACUUGGAUUCCUGGGGCUCUUGUUAAAAGUACAGAUUCUGAUUUAGGAGAUCAAAGGUAAGGCCCAACAUUUUGUGUUUCUAAUAAGGUCCCAGUUGAUAAUCUUCUUCCAUUUAAAGAAGCAAGGUUCUGGAAGACUGAUGCUGCCUUGCUUUUUGUUUGUGUGUUUACUAAGGCCAGGUGGUUCAUCAUUUUCUGGACAGAAGAGAUUACAGGCACAAAAGCCUACCGAAAAAAGAACGAUAUUUAUUCCUUUCUUCAUGAUAAGAAGAUGAUUCUCCUUGUCUCUUUCCCCUCUAAUUUGGUUAAAUUUAGUUGUGGUUAAUUUAGAAAGUUUUUUGAUUGUUUGUUUUGGCAGCAUGUGGAAGUUCCAGGGCCAGGAACUGAACCUGUGAUACAGCACUGACAAUGCUGGAUCCUUAACCAGUUGAGCCACCAGAAAACUCUAGAAUUUUCUUAUUUCUUCAACUCCAUUUUCUUCUAUGCCAGUUUGUAGCUACUUAAUGUGCCCACUUGAUUUGCAAUCUAUUUUUCCAGGUCACAGAGGAUGUGUACUUAGUUUUCCUUCACAAAGAAUUUUUAAGUGUCGCUGGAGUACUCAGUCCUGUAUCCUUCUAUUAUCUGAGAUAGUUGGUUAAAUUAAACUCCCACAGGAAAAAAAAAUCUCAUCAAUCUUUUCCAUUGUUACAAUCACAUUGUUCAUCCACAGAAUAAACAUCACCUAGUUAUUCCCUCAGGGAGGAGUUUAAAUCUUGUUCAUACUCCUUACAUUGCUGCAAAUCUGUGGUCGUUCUUCUUAAUUAUCAUGUAUUCUUUUCCAGGUGGAUUUUUGUCAGAGCGGUAAAUCUUGGUGCAGAUCAAUUUUAGGUGUUAUUUAGGUUUAGGUAUUUAACAACAAUUAAGGUACUGAUGAAUAUAUGUAAUAUUGCCUGAUUUAUCAUUCCCUUUAUAGGCUCUUCACAAAUAUAUCAGAGGCACAAUUUACAGUACCCGUCAGGAGAUAAAGGAUAAUAUCGUGUUAAAAACUCAACUUUGUUUUGUUUUUCUCAGAAGGGGAUGAGGAAUGGGUGUGUAUCUGAACUCCUUUGACAUAGCCCUGGUCUAGUCUUCCAGACUUUUCUGCUUUGGCUGUUCCUGGCCAGGGUCUGCAAAAAUGUUCUUGCACCUCAGAGCUAUGAACUUGUCCCAAACUUGUCCCAAACAUAUCCUCUGUGUUUUUCACUUGUUCUCUUUCUUCUGCUUGGAAUACCCUACCUGAUUCUUACAGCCUCCUCCCAAUACCUAAAGACAAAUUUUUCAGCAUUUGAGACUGAUAACAAUAAUUACAGUAGUAGUCACAUUUAUUGGUCAUUUGUGUGUGCCAGGCACUGUGCUAAACUCAGGUAUGUUGCCUCCUUUGAUCCUUACUACAAUGCUCUUCACCAGGAGUUACCAUCCUCCUUUUGUAGAUAAAGAAACAGAGGCUUAGGGAGGCCAUGCAACUUGUUCAGAUUUACAUAGUGAGUGGGGAAGCUUGGAUUUGAGCCUGGGCUGUCUGAUUCUAGGAUCCUUCAUCUUAACUGUUAGGCUAUACUGCCCAGAUUUAUCCUUCUCCAUGGGACCUUCCUCCUUUGUCUUGUUUGCUUUGAGGCAAAUGACAUAGUUGCUAUUAUUUUUUCUUCAUUACUCAAUGAAUUUAUUAUAUUUAUAGUUGUACAAUGAUAUAGCAUUUCCAUCCCAAACCCCUAGCAUCCCCCUACCCCCCAACUUCUCUACUUUAGAAACUAUAUAAGUUUUUCAAAGUCUGUGAGUCAGUAUCUGUUCUGUAAAGAAGUUCAUUGUGUCUUUUUUUCAGAUUCCACGUCAGUGAUAGCAUUUGAUGUUGGUAUCUCAUUGUCUGACUGACUUCACUUAGCAUGAUUAUUUCUAGGUUCAUCCAUGUUGCAAAAAAUGCUGGUAUUUCGUUCUUUUUAAUGGCUGAGUAAUAUUCCAUUGUGUAUAUGUACCACAUCUUCUUGAUCCACUCCUCUGUCAAUGGACAUUUAGGUUGUUUCCAUGUCUUGGCUAUUGUAAAUAGUGCUGCAAUGAACAUUGGAGUACAUGUGUCUUUUCAAAUCAUGGUUUUCUCUGGAUAGAUGCCCAGGAGUGGGAUUGCUGAAUCAAAUGGUAGUUCCAUGUUUAGUUUUCUGAGGAAUCUCCAUACUUUUUUCCACAGUGGUUGCACCAAUUUACAUUCCCACCAACAGUGUAAUAGGGUUCCUUUUUUUCCACACCCUCACCAGCAUUUAUUGUUUGUAGACUUUUUGAUGAUGGCCAUUCUGGCUGAAGUAUGGUGGUACCUCAUAGUGGUUUUGAUUUGCAUAUCUCUAAUAAUGUGUGAUGUUGAACAUUUUUUCAUGUGCUUUUUGGCCAUUCAUAUGUCUUUUGGAGAAUUGUCCAUUUUAGAUCUUCUGCCCAUUUUUUGAUGGGCUUGUUUGUCUUUUUGGUCUGGAGCUGCAGAAGGUGUUUAUAAAUUUUGGAGAUCAAUCCCUUGUCAGUUGAUUCAUUUGCAAAGAUUUUCUCCCAUUCUUUGGGUUAUCUUUUCAUUUUGUUUAGGGUUUCCUUUGCUGUGCAGAAACUUUUCAGUUUGAUUAGGUCCCAUUUUUUUAUUUUUGUUUUUACUGUCAUUACUCUAAGAGGUGGAUCUGAGAAGAUGUUGCUGUAGUUUAUGUUGGAGAGUGUUUGCCCUAUGUUUUCCUCUAAGAAUUUUAUAGUGUCUGGUCUUACAUAUAUAGGUCUUUAAUCCAUUUUGAGUUUAUUUUUGUGUAUGGUGUUAGGGAGUGUUCUCAUUCUUUACAUAUGGCUAUCUAGUUUUCCCAGCACCACUUAUUGAAGAGCCUGUCUUUUUUCCACUGUAUAUUCUUGCCUUGUUUGUCAUAGAUGAGUUGGCUGUAGGUGCGUGGGUCUAAUUCUGAGCUUUCUAUCCUGUUCCACUGAUCUAUAUGUCUGUCUUGGAAGUCCUAGCCACAGCAAUUAGAGAAGUAAAAUAAAUAAAAGGAAUCCAAAUUGGAAAGGAAGGAGUAAAACUAUCACUAUUUGCAAUGACAUGAUACUAUAUCUAGAGAAUCCUAAAGACUCUACCAGAAAACUGUUAGAGCUCAUCAAUGAAUUUGGCCAAGUCACAGGAUACAAAAUUAAUACACAGAAAUCAAUGGCAUUUCUGUAUACUAACAAUGGAAGAUAAGAAAGAGAAAUUAGGGAAGCAAUCCCAUUUACCAUCACAUCCAAAAGAAUAACAUACCUAGGAGUAAACCUACCUAAAGAGACAAAACACCUGUACUCUGAAAACUAUAAGACACUGAUGAAAGAAAUCAAAGCUGACACAACUAGAUGGAAAGACAUACCAUGCUCGUGGAUUGGAAGAGUCAAUAUUAUCAAAAUGACUAUACUGUCCAAGGCAAUCUAUGAUUCAGUGCCAUUCCUGUCAAAUUACCAAGGACAUUUUUCACAGAACUCGAACAAAAUAUUUUAAAAUUUGUUUGGAAGCACACAAGACCCAGAAUAGCCAAAGACAUCCUGAAAAAGAAAAAUGGAGCUGGAGGAAUCAGGCUAAGUAAUAUACCACUCUUCUUUAUCCAUUCAUCUGUUGAUGGACAUUUAGGUUGUUUCCAUGUCUUGGCUAUUUAAACAGUGCUGCUAUGAACAUUGGGGGUGCAUGUAUCUUUUAAAAGUGUAUCUUUCUCCAGAUACUCCAAGUGUGGAAUUGUUGGAUCAUAUGGUAGCUCUAUAUUUAGUUUUUUUAGGAACCUCCAUACUGUUCUCCAUAAUGGUGGUUGCACCAAUUUACAUUCCUACCAACAGUGUAGGAGGUUUCCCUUUACUCCAUACCCUCUCCAGAAUUUUUUAUUUGUAAACUUUUUGAUGAUGGUCAUUCUGACUGUUGUGAUAUCUCAUUGUAGUUUUGAUUUGCAUUUCUCUAAUAAUUAGAGAUGUUAGGAAAGGAAGUCAUUAAAAAAAGAAAGAAAAAAAAAA
rnacentral:lncRNA from 9 species